rnacentral:rRNA from 1 species
AUGGUAGGAUAGAGGCCUACCAUGGUUUUAACGGGUAACGGGGAAUUAGGGUUCGAUUCCGGAGAGGGAGCCUGAGAAACGGCUACCACAUCCAAGGAAGGCAGCAGGCGCGCAAAUUACCCAAUCCCGACACGGGGAGGUAGUGACAAUAAAUAACAAUAUGGGGCUCUUACGAGUCUCGUAAUUGGAAUGAGUACAAUUUAAAUCUCUUAACGAGGAACAAUUGGAGGGCAAGUCUGGUGCCAGCAGCCGCGGUAAUUCCAGCUCCAAUAGCGUAUAUUAAAGUUGUUGCAGUUAAAAAGCUCGUAGUUGAAUUUCGGAAUCUGUCCGUCGGUCGGGCUUCACUGUCCGUACUGGUGUGAUGGGUUUCUACCUUCUGAAUAACCGGCAUGUCAUUAAUUUGGUGCGCCGGGGAAGCAGAACUAUUACCUUGAAAAAAUUAGAGUGCUUAAAGCAGGCUAUCGCCUGAAUAGAUUAGCAUGGAAUAAUAAAAUAGGACGGCAUGGUUCUAUUUUGUUGGUUUCUAGGAUCACCGUAAUGAUUAAUAGGGAUAGUUGGGGGCAUUAGUAUUCAAUUGUCAGAGGUGAAAUUCUUGGAUUUAUUGAAGACUAACUUCUGCGAAAGCAUUUGCCAAGGAUGUUUUCAUUAAUCAAGAACGAAAGUUAGGGGAUCGAAGACGAUCAGAUACCGUCGUAGUCUUAACCAUAAACUAUGCCGACUAGGGAUCGGACGAUGUUAAUUUUUUAAUGACUCGUUCGGCGCCUUACGGGAAACCAAAGUGUUUGGG